rnacentral:hammerhead_ribozyme from 1 species
AUACAGAUGACGAGUCCUAAUUAGGACGAAAUACGCAUCCUGGAU